UACGUAGGGGGCCAGCGUUGUCCGAAGUUACUGGGCGUAAAGAGCGCGUAGGCGGGUCUUUAAGUGAGGGGUGAAAGGUUCGGGCUCAACCCGGACACUGCCUUUCAUACUGGAGGCCUUGAGUGUGGGAGAGGCGAGUGGAAUUCUUGGUGUAGCGGUGAAAUGCGUAGAUAUCAAGAGGAACACCAGUGGCGAAGGCGGCCCGCUGGGCAGUGGCUGACGCUGAGGCGCGACAGCGUGGGGAGCAAACAGG
rnacentral:rRNA from 1 species